GACAGAGGUGCCAAGCGUUAGGCGGAAUCACUGGGCUUAAAGCGUGUGUAGGUGGAAGCGUAAGUACCUUGUGAAAUCCCACGGCUUAACCGUGGAACUGCUUGGUAUACUGCGUUUCUUGAGCCAACUAGGGGCUAUCGGAACAAGUGGUGGAGCGGUGAAAUGCGCAGAUAUCAGGAAGAACACCCGUGGCUAAGGCGGCUCUCUAGUACGGUACUGACGCUGAGACGCGAAAGCGUGGGGAGCGAACAGG
rnacentral:rRNA from 1 species